GUGUUUAGUAACGUGGAGCCGAGCGGAUCACUCAAAACGCCAUAUGAAUCAGCUUCUUCCUCCUUUGCACCAGAAAAAUCCAAUUGCUUCAAUGGAGUUUACUCUAGCUUCUUCUGCUUCAGCAAAAACUGCACUACUCAGCUGCCGCCAAAUGGGACUGGGUUCGCCUAAAUUACCAAAUGUUUGGAGGAGAAGUUCAUGGCGUUCUCGUAGCUCAAGGAGGAAUACAUCGUUACGCACUGUUGCCAUGAGCACUACAGCAGGAUUGGUAAACAAUAUGGAAGCUCCUGAAGCCAAUGCUCAAAAUGUUAAUUAUAUGUGGCCUGAUAAAAAGAGGCCAAGGAUCUGCAUAAUAGGUGGUGGGUUUGGAGGUCUUUAUACAGCACUGAGGUUAGAAUCACUUGUUUGGCCUGAUGACAAGAAACCACAGGUAGUCCUCAUCGAUCAAUCGGAACGUUUCGUUUUUAAGCCAUUGUUGUAUGAACUUCUCUCUGGAGAAGUUGAGGCAUGGGAAAUUGCUCCACAAUUCUCAGACUUGCUUGCCAAUACUGGUGUGAGGUUCUUCAAAGACAGGGUAAAAUGCUUAUAUCCAUGUGACCACUUGGGAACUAAUGCACCUACAGCAGGGACUGUUCAUCUCGAAAGUGGUCUCCUCAUAGAAUAUGACUGGUUGGUCCUUGCUAUAGGAGCUGAGGCCAAACUUGAUAUUGUUCCAGGCGCUGCAGAUUAUGCCUUGCCAUUUUAUACCCUAGAGGAUGCUCAUAGGGUUGAUAAAAAGCUAAGAGAAUUAGAGCGCAAAAACUUCGGUAAGGACUCUGCAAUACGAGUAGCAGUGGUUGGAUGUGGUUAUGGAGGAGUUGAGUUAGCUGCCACGAUAUCGGAAAGGUUGCAACAAAAGGGAAUUGUACAAGCGAUUAAUGUUGAUAAGACAAUUUUGUCAAAUGCUCCAGCAGGAAACAGGGAAGCAGCACUAAAAGUACUUUCUUCCAGGAAAGUUCAACUCAUACUUGGUUAUUUUGUCCGAUGUAUAACAAAAGGAAACGAGCCUCAGACUGAUGCUGAACCUGGAAGUAUAGACUCAGCAGCUGAUCAUUCUGAAAGUGUAACACUUGAAUUGCAGCCUGCUGAAAGAGGCUUGCAGGGUCAGACUAUACGGGCAGAUAUAGUUUUAUGGACUAUUGGAUCUAAACCACUGCUUCCUCAGUUGGAACCUAGUGAUAAACCUUACGACAUUCCUCUGAAUGCUAGGGGACAAGCAGAAACUGAUGAAACUCUCCGUGUCAAGGGUCAUCCUCGUAUAUUUGCUGUUGGUGAUUCGUCUACAUUAAGGGACAGGAAUGGGAAGUUGCUUCCGGCUACUGCACAGGUUGCUUUUCAGCAAGCAGAUUUUGCUGGUUGGAAUUUGUGGGCUGCAAUUAAUGACCGCCCAUUGUUGCCUUUUAGGUAUCAAAAUUUAGGUGAGAUGAUGACACUUGGAAAGUAUGAUGCUGCUGUUUCACCAAGUUUCACUGAUGGGCUGACCUUGGAGGGUUUUGUUGGUCAUACUGCAAGGAAAAUAGCGUAUUUGAUCAGAUUACCAACUGAUAAACACCGCGUGCAAGUAGGAAUCAGUUGGCUACUGAAAUCCACAGUUGAUUCAGUUGCAACAAUACAGACAAUGCUCACUAAAGCCCAGUGAGGGUCCUAGAUCAGUUGCUUUUGGGUCAGUACAAUCUUCUCUGGAACCCACCCUUCUUUAUGCUGAGGAGGUAUCGACAACCCAAUUUCGAAAUCCUCUUCCUUUGUUAAGUAACUGUUUUAAGUUGUAACACUACAAACAAUGCUUGCUAAAGCUCAAAUCAGGAUCUUAGUUUAAUGUAUUUGUUGCAAUCACUUUAGGGUGGGGAGCUAGUUUACAUGUAUAUCCAUCUUUCUUAUAAAGAACAUUCAUGAACAACAGCAGGUCCAAUUAUAC
rnacentral:misc_RNA from 1 species